rnacentral:tRNA from 1 species
UUAAGGGAGACCUACCCAUUCAGAAUCUGAAAGCAAAGUGCAAAUAGGAACUGGAUUGGUCAUCCCAAGGUCGUUCGAGGUAUGAGUGUUCGUGGCUUUCAAACUAUUACAGGUUCGGUAUGUGGGCUAUUAGCUCAGGUGGUUAGAGCGCACCCCUGAUAAGGGUGAGGUCCCUGGUUCGAGUCCAGGAUGGCCCACCUUAGCGAUUGAUAAUUGCUUGGGGGUUUAGCUCAGUUGGUAGAGCGCCUGCUUUGCAAGCAGGAUGUCAGCGGUUCGAGUCCGCUAACCUCCACUGGGAGUUAAUAGAGCAAGAGGUAGGAAAGUUCAGCAACUUAUCUAGGUUUAGCUAGAGAGCCUGCUGGAGAUGUCCAGCCAGAACCAUGAAAACUGCAUAGCGAGAAAAAGAUUUCUGUCAGGUAGUAGAAGAUUGAUUUGAUUUAGCUCAAGUCAAUCCAACACAGACACCAAUGAAUUUUG